rnacentral:rRNA from 1 species
AUUGAACGCUGGCGGCAGGCCUAACACAUGCAAGUCGACCGGAUGAAGGGAGCUUGCUCCUGGAUUCAGCGGCGGACGGGUGAGUAAUGCCUAGGAAUCUGCCUGGUAGUGGGGGAUAACGUCCGGAAACGGGCGCUAAUACCGCAUACGUCCUGAGGGAGAAAGUGGGGGAUCUUCGGACCUCACGCUAUCAGAUGAGCCUAGGUCGGAUUAGCUAGUUGGUGGGGUAAAGGCCUACCAAGGCGACGAUCCGUAACUGGUCUGAGAGGAUGAUCAGUCACACUGGAACUGAGACACGGUCCAGACUCCUACGGGAGGCAGCAGUGGGGAAUAUUGGACAAUGGGCGAAAGCCUGAUCCAGCCAUGCCGCGUGUGUGAAGAAGGUCUUCGGAUUGUAAAGCACUUUAAGUUGGGAGGAAGGGCAGUAAGUUAAUACCUUGCUGUUUUGACGUUACCAACAGAAUAAGCACCGGCUAACUUCGUG